rnacentral:rRNA from 1 species
GAUUCCGCAGCGACGGCGUGCGUCGUCUCCCUUCACGCCCUGGCCGGCAUCCGGGGCGAGCGGACCAUGCUGCUGCCCGUGACGAUCCAUGGCGAGCGACUGGUGGCCCUGCUGAUUACAGGCUCCACACACAACUUUCUGCCCGAGUCGACCAUGCGUCGGCUAGCCCUCCCGACGACGGGCGGGGAGCGCCUGCGGAUCACAGUGGCGAACGGCGAUCGCCUCCGGUGCCAUGGGCUAGCCCGCGACGUUCCCAUCUCCAUCGGCGGCGAACACUUUUCCAUCACCUGUGCAGGGAUUGAUCUGGGCUGUUUCGACUUCAUCCUCGGGGUGGACUUUCUCCGGACCCUCGGCCCCAUCCUGUGGGAUUUCGACGCGCUCACGGUGACAUUCUGGCGGCAGGGCCGCCGCAUCCGGUGGGAGGGCAUUGGGGGCGCCGCGCCUGCCGUGCCACACCUCCAGUUGGCUAUAGAGUCCUCGGAGGCCGAGCACCCCCUGCUGGAUUCUCUUCUGCAGCAGCACGGCGACCUCUUCGACGAUCCGCAGGGUCUUCCGCCUGCCCGGGUGUACGACCAUCAUAUUCACCUCGUACCAGGCUCCACUCCGGUGGCGGUGCGGCCCUACCGCUACCCCCAGCUGCAGAAGGAUGAGUUGGAGCGCCAGUGUGCCCUGAUACUCGCCGCAAGCAUCAUCCGGAUCUCCAUGUCGCCCUUCACGGCGCCGGUGCUUCUCGUCCGUAAGUCAGACGGCACAUGGCGCUUCUGCAUCGACUACCGUGCCCUCAACGCACUCACGCUCAAGGACAAGUUCCCUAUACCGGUGGUCGACGAGCUCUUGGAUGAGCUCCAUGGGGCACGCUUCUUCACCAAGCUCGAUCUCCGGUCGGGCUAUCAUCAGGUGCGCAUGCAUCCAGACGACAUCGCCAAGACGGCGUUUCGCACCCACCAUGGC